rnacentral:rRNA from 1 species
UACGUAGGCAGCAAGCGUUGUUCGGAAUUACUGGGCGUAAAGGGCGCGUAGGCGGAUCUGCAAGUUGGGGGUGAAAUCCCGGGGCUUAACCUCGGAACUGCCUCCAAAACUGCACAUCUUGAGUACGGGAGAGGUGAGUGGAACUCCGAGUGUAGAGGUGAAAUUCGUAGAUAUUCGGAAGAACACCAGUGGCGAAGGCGACUCACUGGCCCGUUACUGACGCUGAGGCGCGAAAGCGUGGGGAGCAAACAGG